rnacentral:lncRNA from 1 species
UCCACGCCUCCCUCCGUCUGGACGUAUCCAUGGCGAGCGGGGCGAGCGGGUUGCGUAGGCCGAGCCUUGUCCCCAGUGACCACUGGGGAGCCGUGUGGCCGCACCUGCCUCUCGGCGCUUGGUGGGAAGAACAGAGCCAGUCCCAUACAAGGAGGACGUGUUGACCGAGGGGACAAAGGUGGAAUCGUUCCCCCAGGCCGGCUCGUGGUGUUAUCAGCUGGAGAACGCCGUCUCGCUUGAACAGAGCCCGCCACGGCCUCACAUAAUGAAGUGCAAACAGGAUUUUGAAAAAAGGGUGCACAGCCCACAAUUUUGUAAGGAGCUCUGGUUGGACUUCCUGCCUACACUGAGUUUAAUCGGUGGGCCGUCCACGUCAGGCAUUUUCACGCAAUGUCUACCCUUCGGCAAGGUUCCCACAGGGCACAGAAAGUGGAAAGAACCUCUUCCCAUCUGCUGGGUGGCCACACAUUAGGCACGGUGCUAACACCCAGCGAGAACCCGCAUUUCACGUUCUUCUGCAGUGCUUUCUACGGUCAAAGCCUUCUCCUGCCUCCGAGAUCUUCUUGUCAUGUUCUGAGUCCUCCCUGAAGAAUGUGAAGUCGUAGGACGCCUGUCUGCUGGCUUUCAUUGGUGCUUGAUGCAUAGAAACUGUUUCUCUACCCGUCAGGUGUGUGUGGGGUCCCAGACCACCCCGGCGAGACCCGCGGUAAUGAGGACUGGUUUCUGCUCUGCCUUCGACAGGUGUUUACUGAAGUCCCAGGAGGCACCGGGCUACAUCCACAGCCGGAAACAAAACCAACUGGCCACCGCCCUCACUUUGGACUCGCGACAACCAGGCGGUGCUUGAAGGGACAGUGAUGACUGGAUCUCACUUCAGUGACCACACGGGACCCAGGUAAGGACAUUGACCCAAGACACCAACAAGAUGCAAAGUCUACGCAUCGGUGAAGAGACUAGAACUGUCUCUCUGUUGCUGCACCACACGGUAUAGGGUGCGUCCUGUGUCACAUGGACACUGCUGAGCAGGCGUCACCCAGAAAAGCAGGUGGACAGGGGCUCUGGGCAAAUUAAAUACUCACGGAGGAUUUCAGCGGAGGAGGGAGAAGGGAAAGAACUUGUGACUGGAGUAAGGUGAAGGAAGGCUGGGGCACAAAGGACACGGGAAAGAGGUGCGGGCACAGCCCAGGGGCUCUGG